rnacentral:lncRNA from 1 species
UUCUUUUGAUGAAAAAUGGAAGAUAGGUGAAGUUGAGCCAAACAAAUGAGCAUGCAUGUGCCUUAGAUGCUAAGGGAAAAAAUCGGCUAACAUGUUGUGCUUUAAAAUGAUGAAAUGGAGAUUAUACUUAAGUAAAAUCAUAUAUAUGUGAUGAUUGAUUGGUGAUAUACAUGUUUAGAUAACAAGCAUGCAAGUUAGGUGUGAAAGAGUGGUUUGGUAAUAAAUCUGCUUGGGACAGCAGCAGUAACGUGACUUUGGAAAAUCACCAUAAAUUGUGGG